UGACAUUUGAUAGACGUCAAGUUUUAUUUUUGUUUGUAGAAAUGGAAUAUUUAUAUAGCUUGUACGUUAUUAUUAUUUAAUUUCUAUAAAAUGGUAAUGUGUUGAGUACCCGAAUGGUUAUCAUUGAUAUUGAAAUCUGCAGAAGGGAGUAAAACUACUCAUUAUAUUAUGUUCCUGCUACUUUAAUGAAGAAGAUAAAGAAAAUCUUCUCUCACCAUAUUUUCAAAUAGAACUGG
rnacentral:lncRNA from 1 species